rnacentral:rRNA from 1 species
GAGUUUGAUCCUGGCUCAGGAUGAACGCUAGCGGCAGGCCUAAUACAUGCAAGCUGAACGGUAAAUAUUAUAGCAAUAUGAUAUGAGAGUAGCGUAAGGGUGCGUAACACGUAUGCAAUCUGCCCUGUACAGGAGGAUAGCUCGGCGAAAGCCGGAUUAAUACUCCGUAACAUUAUGGAGUGGCAUCACUUUAUAAUUAAAGUCGCAAGACGGUACGGAUGAGCAUGCGUCUGAUUAGCUAGUUGGUAGUGUAACGGACUACCAAGGCGAUGAUCAGUAGGGGAACUGAGAGGUUGACUCCCCCACACUGGCACUGAGAUACGGGCCAGACUCCUACGGGAGGCAGCAGUAGGGAAUAUUGGUCAAUGGAUGCAAGUCUGAACCAGCCAUGCCGCGUGCA